CCUUGUUGCUUCGGCGGGCCCGCCGCCUGACGGCCGCCGGGGAGGCCUCCGCGCCCCCGGGCCCGCGCCCGCCGAAGACGCCCACGUGAACUCUGCCCUGAAGGAUUGCAGUCUGAGUCGAUUAUCAUAAUCAGUUAAAACUUUCAACAACGGAUCUCUUGGUUCCGGCAUCGAUGAAGAACGCAGCGAAAUGCGAUAACUAAUGUGAAUUGCAGAAUUCAGUGAAUCAUCGAGUCUUUGAACGCACAUUGCGCCCCCUGGUAUUCCGGGGGGCAUGCCUGUCCGAGCGUCAUUGCUGCCCUCAAGCACGGCUUGUGUGUUGGGCCGCCGUCCCCGCCUCCCCGGGGACGGGCCCGAAAGGCAGCGGCGGCACCGCGUCCGGUCCUCGAGCGUAUGGGGCUUCGUCACCCGCUCUGCAGGCCCGGCCGGCGCCGGCCGACCACCAACCCACUUCUUAAGGUUGACCUCGGAUCAGGUAGGGAUACCCGCUGAACUUAAGCAUAUCAAUAAGCGGAGGAAAAGAAACCAACAGGGAUUGCCCCAGUAACGGCGAGUGAAGCGGCAAGAGCUCAAAUUUGAAAGCUGGCCCCCCCGGGGUCCGCGUUGUAAUUUGCAGAGGAUGCUUCGGAUGCGGCCCCCGUCUAAGUGCCCUGGAAGGGGCCGUCAUAGAGGGUGAGAAUCCCGUCUGGGACGGGGUGUCCGCGUCCGUGUGAAGCUCCUUCGACGAGUCGAGUUGUUUGGGAAUGCAGCUCUAAAUGGGUGGUAAAUUUCAUCUAAAGCUAAAUACUGGCCGGAGACCGAUAGCGCACAAGUAGAGUGAUCGAAAGAUGAAAAGCACUUUGAAAAGAGAGUUAAACAGCACGUGAAAUUGUUGAAAGGGAAGCGUUUGCGACCAGACUCGCCCGCGGGGUUCAGCCGGCACUCGUGCCGGUGUACUUCCCCGCGGGCGGGCCAGCGUCGGUUUGGGCGGCCGGUCAAAGGCCCUCGGAAUGUGUCACCCCCCGGGGUGUCUUAUAGCCGAGGGUGCAAUGCGGCCUGCCCGGACCGAGGAACGCGCUCC
rnacentral:rRNA from 1 species